rnacentral:rRNA from 1 species
UACGUAGGGUGCAAGCGUUGUCCGGAAUUAUUGGGCGUAAAGAGCUCGUAGGCGGUCUGUCGCGUCUGCUGUGAAAACUCGGGGCUAACCCCGGGCCUGCAGUGGGUACGGGCAGACUAGAGUGCGGUAGGGGAGACUGGAAUUCCUGGUGUAGCGGUGAAAUGCGCAGAUAUCAGGAGGAACACCGGUGGCGAAGGCGGGUCUCUGGGCCGUAACUGACGCUGAGGAGCGAAAGCAUGGGGAGCGAACAGG